rnacentral:rRNA from 1 species
GGCCUUGACAUACUAAGAACUUUCCAGAGAUGGAUUGGUGCCUUCGGGAACUUAGAUACAGGUGCUGCAUGGCUGUCGUCAGCUCGUGUCGUGAGAUGUUGGGUUAAGUCCGCAACGAGCGCAACCCUUUUUCCUUAUUUGCCAGCGGGUAAUGCCGGGAACUUUAAGGAUACUGCCAGUGACAAACUGGAGGAAGGCGGGGACGACGUCAAGUCAUCAUGGCCCUUACGGCCAGGGCUACACACGUGCUACAAUGGUCGGUACAAAGGGUUGCUACCUCGCGAGAGGAUGCUAAUCUCAAAAAGCCGAUCGUAGUCCGGAUCGCAGUCUGCAACUCGACUGCGUGAAGUCGGAAUCGCUAGUAAUCGCGGAUCAGAAUGCCGCGGUGAAUACGUUCCCGGGCCUUGUACACACCGCCCGUCACACCAUGGGAGUUUGUUGCACCAGAAGUAGGUAGUCUAACCGCAAGGAGGACGCUUACCACGGUGUGGCCGAUGACUGGGGUGAAGUCGUAACAAGGUAGGCGUAGAUGA